rnacentral:rRNA from 1 species
CCUACGGGAGGCAGCAGUGGGGAAUAUUGCACAAUGGGGGAAACCCUGAUGCAGCGACGCCGCGUGAGUGAAGAAGUAAUUCGUUAUGUAAAGCUCUAUCAGCAGGGAAGAAAAUGACGGUACCUGAGUAAGAAGCCCCGGCUAACUACGUGCCAGCAGCCGCGGUAAUACGUAGGGGGCAAGCGUUAUCCGGAUUUACUGGGUGUAAAGGGAGCGUAGACGGCAGUGCAAGUCUGGAGUGAAAGGCGGGGGCUCAACCCCCGGACUGCUCUGGAAACUGUACGGCUGGAGUGCAGGAGAGGUAAGUGGAAUUCCUAGUGUAGCGGUGAAAUGCGUAGAUAUUAGGAGGAACACCAGUGGCGAAGGCGGCUUACUGGACUGUAACUGACGCUGAGGAGCGAAAGCGUGGGUAGCAAACAGGAUUAGAUACCCUUGUAGUC